ACUCUAAGGAGACUGCCGGUGACAAACCGGAGGAAGGUGGGGAUGACGUCAAGUCAUCAUGGCCCUUACGGCCUGGGCUACACACGUGCUACAAUGGUCGGUACAAAGGGUUGCCAAGCCGCGAGGUGGAGCUAAUCCCAUAAAACCGAUCGUAGUCCGGAUCGCAGUCUGCAACUCGACUGCGUGAAGUCGGAAUCGCUAGUAAUCGUGAAUCAGAAUGUCACGGUGAAUACGGUUCCCGGGCCUU
rnacentral:rRNA from 1 species